GCACGACCGCUGGAUGAGGUCUCCUCCCGCCCGGUCUGACGCACUUCCCCGGCGUCAGACGGUCGCGGAGGGAGACCUGAUCCAGCCGGCCUGCACCA
rfam:Sanguibacter keddieii DSM 10542, complete genome.